rnacentral:tRNA from 1 species
AGCUUUAUAGUGGAAAUAUAAUAAGACGUUAGAUUGCAAAUCUGAAAAUGUGAAUGAAUCUCUAAAGCUU